rnacentral:tRNA from 3 species
GGGAGAUUUCCCGAGUGGCCAAAGGGGACAGACUGUAAAUCUGCUGGCAACGCCUUCGGUGGUUCGAAUCCACCAUCUCCCACCA